GGAAGUGGCAAGGCGGCAGGGCCCGCCCCGGGAACUCCGGAGACCUCCCUCCCAGACCCCCCGGCGCCGGGGCUACCACAUGUUGCUGCCAACUUGGGAGUGCUGGACGAGGGCUCUUCUCUUGACCCUCGGCCCAGGCUGCCCCAACUGUCCUGACCUAACCGGGCAGUGCCCAGAUUUAUGGAUCUCCAGGAGCAUUCCUCCAGCCCCGUCCCGCGACUCCCCAUACCUCCGGGUGCCUGCCCCGGCACACACCUCGGAAACUGAGUCGCACAGGAAGUUAGGGAGCCCGAGUUAGGAUCAGAAGGAGACCAAUGGGUGUGACCUGCUAGAGACAUCUGCCUUGCAGGGGAAUCACAGGUCUUUCAUUCCGCUUUCCUGUUGGUUCAGAUAAGAUGGGACCAGAAAGUGACACCCUAAAAAGACUAUACAGAACAAGAACAAAAGAAGAGUGAAAAGGAACUAAGACAUGAACCUGGAACACUGAGAGAGCUUCAAGUCAGAUUCGUUUUCUGAACAGAACAAAGCUGGACUUAUCUCCUGACUAGAAUAUGGGCUUCAUUCAUGCCUUAUCUUUGGAAUACAAGGCCUUCUCUUCCAUCCAAUGUAACUAUUAUAAUAUUAUGUAAUUAUAAACAGUUGAAAUUUUAAAAGGUAGUUGUCAGGGAGAACAAUGUCUCCAGACAUGUAAGCCAAUGGAAGUUACUCAAGCCUUCAAGUGUAUUCAUAUAUAAACUCACAUGCACGUGGGCACAUACACCAUCCAUAAUAAUGACAGGCUACCGCUAACACCAAAAAUGUAGUCUACACAAAGCCUCAUUUCAAUCUCCCAGUUAAUCCCUAACUUAAUCUCAGAGUCAAGCCUCUACAAUAAAUAAAACUAUCCCCAUGGAGAAGAGGACUAUCUAAGAGAAAGGGAGACAACUGGCCUCGCCUUGUAAAGAAUCUAAAUUUCUAAUAAGAGGAGGCAGAGAGACAGACUAUGUAUCUAUGACUGGGGAGAGAGCUGACAAAGACCAAGUAUCCAUGAUGAACGAGGAGGAGACAGCAUAGAUUAUGUAUUUACAAAAUGAAUGCGACGUAAAUACAGUCAAGGUGGCCAGAGAGUAUUUCUUACCUGAGUAUCCAAAGGAAAUACUGGAGAUGGGGCUCAGGUAGAUGCCUUUGCCAUAGGCUGCUCCAUGCAGCUUGCAGGGAAACACCAGGAUGAGCAAUAUGAGCCUGGGCCCUCCCAUGGCUGUAUAUUAGGCAGCCACAAGGCUUAUCCAGCCCUCUGUCCCUCCAAUUACCUUCUCACUCAUUCAGAUAACACUAGGAACCUACUCUUGAAAAGCUGAUUGGCUGAAAAGUGGCUGCAGAUUAACCCCUUUGUCCUACUAGAUAUUGAUGUCUUUGAAAGUGAGGAGUGGCAGCGCCACUGAGUCAGUCCCUCAGAAUCCAUACUCCUGUCCCCAGGCCUUGGCACAUAUGCAGAUUCCAAAAAAGGAACUAUAGAACAGGUAGCCAAGAGGAGGGACAAUAUGCAUUCCUUGGAGGCUCACAGGCCAAAGAAACAAGUCUUUCAUAUCAAUUCUCUGAAUUGACUGAAUGACAGUCACAUAAAUUAAAAAGCUUUGUCUAACAGGUUAAUUCAUCACAGUGGCUGCAGUUAGCAAUUCAUAUUCCUGCCUAUUACUACAAUCCCGUUCCCGAAACCACCAAAAAAUACAGCCUGGGGUCAAUGAUACAACAGCCACAUUCAUUCUAUACAAACAAUUUCAACCUCUUUCCUAGGGAAGCCCCACAACAGGCUAGAUUUGAGGAUGCUGAGGCAAAAACAGCUGAGUACUCUAGAGCAGCCUUCCCCAAAACUGAGUGGGGCAGGGAGGGGGUGUGGAGAGAAAGGGAAAGGGGCACAGCCUCACCUGCAGUUUGGUGUAGGAUGCAUUGACCAGCCCAUUGCGCAGGAUCGAAUGCCAGUUCUCAAUGUGGGACCCACUGUAAGGCAGGGUAGAAGACAUGUGUCCUCACAGUAUGAGGUUCCCAGAAGCACUUCUAAGACUGCCACUCCCACCCAUCCUCACCCACACAGGACAUGAUGAUAGACACAGAUACACCUAGUGAUGGACACGCACAUGGAUACAGUCACAGGCAUGCAAGAUAUGUGUGUGUGGCUAACCCUCCAUCUUAAUUUCCAGUCCCAUCCUUUUUUCUGUGCUUCAGGUAGUCCCAUCCUAAAUCCCCAAAUGCUGGUUCAGCAUUUUGUCUAUUUUCCUGAUAUUUCAAAGUUAAGUAGAUGCAUCUCACACUCAACAAAUUAUCACUGAUCCCAAAUACGGCUGCCAGUCCUGAUUUGACAUCUAUUUUAAGAAAAGGGCACCACUACGCCCUUCUUAAUCUCUCUCUCACUUUCUCUCCCCUCCCACAAUUCGGCAUAAAUCACUGAUUUCCUUCCAAGUAGCUUUCAGAUCUAUCUCCUCUGAUCUGUUCCUUCAACCACAUCUUUUUAUAUGUAAAUGUCAUUUUUCUUCAACUAUAACAUAAGUAGCUUGAGAGUAAAGACCAUAUCAUAUGUAUCUUUUUACCUUCUACAGCACCUACCAUAAUAAUAAUAAAUAUUUGACUGAUCAGUUAGUGGACAUAGGUAACACACACUCAUAUACCUCAAGUGAAGUUGCCCUCCCAUCCCCCUGAAUUAUUUGUUGUCCUCCCCACCCCCACUCCCAGUCCCCACCCUCCUCACUGGAAGGCAAAGGUGCUGCCAUAGAGCUUCUUGGCGGUCCGGAACCGAGCCUCCUUGGCAGGAGGGCUGCUCAGCAGGAGGAACUGGUGUGAGGUGUGCAUGAACUUCAGCUGCUGCCCAGGGUGGGGGUCGGGUCAGGAAAACAGAGCAGAAAUGGAGAUCAGGGAGGGAAGGGUUGGGGCCAGGGAGCAAAUCAGGCUUGCACUGACCCCAAAUAAAGAGAUUAUGCUUAGGUCCAAAGACUACUGUUGAUGGACAGAGCCAAUGAAACAAGUCUAGGACCAAUGUGGUUAGCUGGUUUGGGGCCCCUCCCUGCCCCUCACCAGAAAUUUCAAGAGUUUAGAAGAAUAGUCACUUACCCUGCUGAGAGGUAGUUUGACAAUGUGUGACCUGUUGCUAGAGAUGAUCCUAGCAUAAAACAGAAAAAAAAGGAAUGGAAAGAAUGAAUGUUUGGCCAGACCAUCCAGAACAAAGCAGCAGCCUUGCUGAACCCCUGGGAGAACAAGCAAGGAUUCCAGGGCUGUCUGCCUUGUGUGAAAUGUUCAGAUCACUAUCUGGGUACUCCUGGGGUGGUAAUGCUCGUGUAGAAAAAUGUAAAAGGGAAGCUACCGACCAGAGACCAGCUAGUUACUGGGUAAACGAUGGACGAAAGACAGGGAUGAAAGGGAGACUGCUACAUCUAGGAAGAGAAAAAGAUAAUACAAAAGGAAGAGUACAUAAGAUCAGCUACAAAAAAAAAAAAAAAAUCAGAAAGCAGGGAUCUGUAUUAGCAGGGUGACAACUUGUACUUGGGAUUUAGAGACAUACAACUGGGGCUCAAGAGCCAUCCCAUCUGAGCUCAGAGGAAGCCUUCAGGGCUCUUGAGGAUGGGGAGGAAUGGAAAGAAAGUUACUGUUUGGGCUGGAGAAAAAAACAGAAGAAACUACAACAAUCUUCUGAGGAUUCAAGGACAAAUUGGGCUGUGUGUCGGCUGAACUCAGAGCACAGGAGAGAACAAAGGCAUAAAACAGUGAGGGCUCAGCAAGGCAAUGUUAUCUCAUGUAGCGGAUACAGUUUGGUUCUUUGGGCUUCACCCAUUUACUUGUGAUGCCAUCCUGGAUAGUCUAUGCCUGAUCACUCCUCAUGCUAUGUGGGAGCAUGCUGCAUUGAGAAAGUACUGAUGUCAAAAGCUGACGAGGAAAAGAGGGGAAAGCUAUGUCAGGAAAACAACAGAAAUCAAGAUCAGGGAAGGAGGGCAGGAGGUGGAGGGCAGUAGAAAUGUUCAGGAUCUUUGUUAGAAAGGAAUAAUAAUAGUGCCUCAAGGCUCUGGACAGUGUACAACAACAGGGAAGGCCUUGAGACGGGGAAAGGGAGUAGAAGAGGGAGACAGACUUCUCUGGAUGCACAGAAAACUGAGCUUUAACAGUACUAAUGCUUACAUACAGAGGAUACUUAAAAACCUACUGGGAAACAACACCUAAAGAGAACCCGAAACAUGAUGUCAGAAUCUGUGAGUUCUUAGUAGGCUCUGAGUUCUUUUCAGGGCAGUAUAUCAAUAAAACCCCAAGAAAAAGCAGCCAGAACAUCUAUAACCUCAGGGACGAUGCUAAAACUGCCUCUAAAAGAAGGUGUAGGUUCCAUGUCUAAUAUACACCCCCACACCUCCCUUCCAAUCCCCGAAGGAUGAACCAUUCUAUCCAUACUACUUACCACUGCAAGAGAGGAUGGGCCAAGGGAUCCAGCUUGUCCAUCUGCUUCUUGAUUUCUAGAUAUGAGCCCUGUAAGACAGAGGCCAUAAAGUUACCUCCCAGGAGAGGUGGGGCCCUCCCACUUACAACAGACUGACUAUCAGGGCCCAGGGCAAGGUAGGCACCGUAGGCCACAGAGAGGCAAGCGGAGAUGGGGUUCCCACCCUCAAGGAGCCCAGUCAGAUUGAGAAGACUCAUAAAUAAAUAUGAAAAUGACUGAAAAUGCUUACAAAACAACAUGCAGGUGGGUCUCCCUCAUUUUAUGCAAUUCCUACAACCCUAAAAAGUUGACUUUAAAUCAAAAAUAAAUAAAAUCAAUGUCCCAAAAAGAUCAGGCUAAGGAAUCCUGUGGUAAAACUUUACAUAAAGCAGAGUCCUUCUGACAAAUCAUCCCUCCUAGGUAUAUCUUAUGUGUUAAUCUGAACUGUGAUAAUAUAGGAUUUGCUGAGAAGAGGCCCACCUGUAAAUGUGAGUACAAAUGAAUGUCUAUUCAUGCAGAGAUUGCAGACGAGGGGUGGGGAAGUCUGGUGAGGGGCAGCCUUGAGUCAAAGGAUGGUCACUGCUCCAUGUGGCUGCCCCACCCCUAGAAGGACAGAAGAUGUAGGCCCCUGGGGCUAGUUCCUUACGUCCAAGCCCCCUCCUCACCCUCCCAACCCUGGGCAAAAGUCUUUCACUCACUUCUCUAAUUCCCUAAGAAUUAUGGGGAAAACAUUAAAUAUGAACAACUUGUGAAGGAAUUGGCAGCAAAGGUAAAGGUUGAGAGAGACAUCAGGAGUGAGAAAGAGGAAUAACAGAGAACAAGGAUUGGGAAGGCUGAAGAGGGAAGACUAAAGAAAAUACAGUGAGGAAUCUGAGUAGCAUUUCUAAAUCUUCACUCCAUUCCCAUGGAUUCCAAGCACAACAGGGCACUUAAGCAGGACAGGCAGAGGGCAGAAUACCUGGGUCAUCUCCCGGAUGGACAUCACACUAUCCAGAGCUUUCUGAAGUCGCUCAUAAUUCUUCUUCUGUGGGGAAUCAAUAGGAAGAGAAGACCCAGAUGAAGAAAAGUAGAGGUGAGUAAGAUGUAAUGAAAAGGGAGGGCCAGAUGUACAAAAGAAGUCUAGGCCCCAGGGAAAUAGCAUGUCAUGGAAAGAACACAGAUUGAAUGUCAGACAGUUCUGGAAUCACCUGCUAGUUCUCUUUUACCAGCUAGAAGUAAUAGGGGAAGUUACUUAACCUCUUAGAACCUCGUAUCCCUGUAUGUUAAUGAAGAUAAAAAUUCCCACUACACUCUCAGAGAUGUUCUGAGGACUAAAUAACAUAUGUAAAGAACCUAUAUAGUGCCUGAUACAUAGCAAGAAGGGUAAUAGUGAGGCACUCUGCUGGGUACUUGUGAUGGUUAAUUUUUUUUUUUAAGAUUUUAUUUAUUUGACAGAGAGGGAACACAAGCAGGGAGAGGGAGAAGCAGGCUUCCCGCUGAGCAGGGAGCCUAACUUGGGGCUCGAUCCCAGGACCCUGGGAUCAUGACCUGAGCCAAAGGCAGACACUUAACGACUAAGCCACCCAGGCGCCCCUUGUGAUGGUUAAUUUUGUCAGUGGUUAAUCAAGUUGAUCUAACUGGGUCAUGGAGUACCUGAACAUUUUGUCAUGCAUUACUCUUGGUGUGUCUGUGAGGGUGUUUCUAGAUGAGAUUAACCUUGGAAUCAGCAGACUAAGUAAAGCAGAUUGCCUGCCCUCAUUUGGAUGGGCCUCACACAAUCAGUUGAAGGUCUGAGGAGAACAAAAAGGCCAAGGAAGAGGGAACUCUCCCUGCCUGACUGCUGAAGCUAGGACACUCACUGGUCUUUUCCUACCUUUGGACUGGAAUUGAAAAAUCUGCUCUUUUUGGAUCUCAAGACUGCCAGCUUUUGGAUUGGAAUUUACACCACUGGCUCUCCUGGGUCAUCAGCUUGCCAACUGCAGAUCCUGGGACUUCUCAGCCUUCAUAACUACACGAGCCACUUCCUUCUAAUAAAUCUUUUUCUAUAUGUA